rnacentral:rRNA from 1 species
UACGAAGGGGGCUAGCGUUGUUCGGAAUUACUGGGCGUAAAGCGCACGUAGGCGGGUUGUUAAGUCAGGGGUGAAAUCCUGGAGCUCAACUCCAGAACUGCCUUUGAUACUGGGGAUCUCGAGUCCGGAAGAGGUGAGUGGAACUCCGAGUGUAGAGGUGAAAUUCGUAGAUAUUCGGAAGAACACCAGUGGCGAAGGCGGCUCACUGGCCCGAUACUGACGCUGAGGCACGAAAGCGUGGGGAGCAAACAGG